AUUGAACGCUGGCGGCAGGCCUAACACAUGCAAGUCGAGCGGAUGAGAAGAGCUUGCUCUUCGAUUCAGCGGCGGACGGGUGAGUAAUGCCUAGGAAUCUGCCUGGUAGUGGGGGACAACGUUUCGAAAGGAGCGCUAAUACCGCAUACGUCCUACGGGAGAAAGCAGGGGACCUUCGGGCCUUGCGCUAUCAGAUGAGCCUAGGUCGGAUUAGCUAGUUGGUGAGGUAAUGGCUCACCAAGGCGACGAUCCGUAACUGGUCUGAGAGGAUGAUCAGUCACACUGGAACUGAGACACGGUCCAGACUCCUGCGGGAGGCAGCAGUGGGGAAUAUUGGACAAUGGGCGAAAGCCUGAUCCAGCCAUGCCGCGUGUGUGAAGAAGGUCUUCGGAUUGUAAAGCACUUUAAGUUGGGAGGAAGGGCAGUAAGUUAAUACCUUGCUGUUUUGACGUUACCGACAGAAUAAGCACCGGCUAACUCUGUGCCAGCCGCCGCAGUAAGAC
rnacentral:rRNA from 1 species